GCCAAAGUACCGUUACGAGUGAGGC
rnacentral:piRNA from 1 species